AAGAUACACUGUGCAACAACAACAUUAACAUUUGCAUUAACUCUAAAAUCAGAGGAAACACAAAUACAUAUUUCUAAAACUACCAAAAAUUAAUAAUAAUGUGCAUAUCUCUCAAAGGUUAUCCAUCUUCUUCUUCUUCUUCUCCUCGAUCAUGUACUUGUGAACUCUCUCAGCUUUACUUUUCAUCUCCUCUAUCAUCUCCUCUGUCGUAUUAAGGAUCUGCUUCCGCAAAUAAACCUCCAUAUAAUCAAACCACUCCCCCAGUGUCAUCUUCGCCAAAUCCACCUUCUGCUCUUGAACCCCAUUGUCCACUGUAUCCUCAACCUUAUCACAAGUUUCUUUAGCAUCUCCCUCUUUGGCCACUUCCUCUGAUUUCAAGUUUUCGUUACCAUCAGCUUGAACUUCACAAGUCUUGGAUACUUCCUCUGGAACCAGACGUUCCUUCCCUUCAGUUUCAACUUCACUACUCUGCGGUGGCAUUUCCUGUAAUUUCUUCUUCCUUCCUCUACCUUUUCGAGUAAUUUUACUCUCAGUCGCCGCCAUCUCUCCACGAUCACAUCCCAAAUUCAAUGCGUUCAUCCGGCUCCGAGUGACUCUCACACCAGCAGUCAGGGUCACAUUCGUCUUUUCCUUACCAUCAACUUGAACUUGACACUUCUUCGAUGUUUCCUUACCUGGUCUAAAAUUUUCUUUACAAUAAACUUGAACUCCAAGUACUUCAAGAGGUUCCAAAUUCUCUUCACUCUCAAUUUUAACUUUGCCGCCAUCCAGUGGCAUUUCCUGUAAAUCUUUGCUCCUUUCCCUACCCUUUUUGGUAAGUUUACUCUCACUCUCAAUCUCUCCACCCUCUUCUAGUUCCAAAUUCUCCUUGCUUUCAAUUUGAACUUCGACACUCUCCGGUGGCAUUUCUUGUAAAUUCUUGUUCCUUCCCCUACCCUUUAUGGCAAUUUUACUCUGAUCUUCAAUCUGUCCACCUUCUAAUCCCAAAGUCUCGACGGGUUCCGCCUCCGCCUUCUUACGACCCCUAGUCGCUCUCACACUGGAAGUCCCGGGCACAUUCGCUUGACGCCUCGGAUUCCUCUUCGGCUUCGCGACCGACUCAAUUUGCAUUAACUCUAAAAUCAGAGGAAACACAAAUACAUAUUUCUAAAACUACCAAAAAUUAAUAAUAAUGUGCAUAUCUCUCAAAGGUUAUCCAUCUUCUUCUUCUUCUUCUCCUCGAUCAUGUACUUGUGAACUCUCUCAGCUUUACUUUUCAUCUCCUCUAUCAUCUCCUCUGUCGUAUUAAGGAUCUGCUUCCGCAAAUAAACCUCCAUAUAAUCAAACCACUCCCCCAGUGUCAUCUUCGCCAAAUCCACCUUCUGCUCUUGAACCCCAUUGUCCACUGUAUCCUCAACCUUAUCACAAGUUUCUUUAGCAUCUCCCUCUUUGGCCACUUCCUCUGAUUUCAAGUUUUCGUUACCAUCAGCUUGAACUUCACAAGUCUUGGAUACUUCCUCUGGAACCAGACGUUCCUUCCCUUCAGUUUCAACUUCACUACUCUGCGGUGGCAUUUCCUGUAAUUUCUUCUUCCUUCCUCUACCUUUUCGAGUAAUUUUACUCUCAGUCGCCGCCAUCUCUCCACGAUCACAUCCCAAAUUCAAUGCGUUCAUCCGGCUCCGAGUGACUCUCACACCAGCAGUCAGGGUCACAUUCGUCUUUUCCUUACCAUCAACUUGAACUUGACACUUCUUCGAUGUUUCCUUACCUGGUCUAAAAUUUUCUUUACAAUAAACUUGAACUCCAAGUACUUCAAGAGGUUCCAAAUUCUCUUCACUCUCAAUUUUAACUUUGCCGCCAUCCAGUGGCAUUUCCUGUAAAUCUUUGCUCCUUUCCCUACCCUUUUUGGUAAGUUUACUCUCACUCUCAAUCUCUCCACCCUCUUCUAGUUCCAAAUUCUCCUUGCUUUCAAUUUGAACUUCGACACUCUCCGGUGGCAUUUCUUGUAAAUUCUUGUUCCUCCCCCGACCCUUUUUGGUAAUUUUACUCUGAUCUUCAAUCUGUCCACCUUCUAAUCCGAAAGUCUCGACGGGUUCCGCCUCCGCCUUCGUACGACCCCUAGUCGCCCUCACACUGGAAGUCCCGGGCACAUUCGCUUGACGCCUCGGAUUCC
rnacentral:lncRNA from 1 species